CAUGGCUUUGGCCCAACCUGGUGUGGGUGGGUUGAGAAAAUCUUACACAAUGGCACGGUGAGCAUUAGGCUUAACAAUGAAGUGGGCCCGUAUUAUCAAAGCCACAAAGGGGUGCGCCAAGGCGACCCCUAUUCACCUUUUCUGUUCAAUUUGGCUGUUGAAACCAUCUCGAAGAUGGUCCUUAAUGCUCAAAAUAAAAAAAUCCUCACUGGGCUCGCACCUGACUUGAUUGACGGUGGAGUAGCUAUCCUACAGUAUGCAAAUGACACUGUUAUAUGCUUUGAACAUGAUAAGGAAGCUGCUAUAAACCUAAAACUUCUCCUAUACAUGUUCGAGCUUAUGUCAGGUCUAAAAACCAAUUUCCUAAAAAGCGAAAUAUUCUGUGUUGGGGGGGAUGAGGAUACCCUGGCCUUUUAUGCUGAGUUAUUUAAUUGUAAUAUUGGGCACUUUCCAAUGAAAUACUUGGGAGUGCUAGUCAGUUUCUCAAACCUUAGUGUCAUUGGGACUUUGUUGAUGAAAGAUUCCUUAAAUGUUGCGAAGCCUGGAUUGGGAAUGUGGCAUCCUCGGGUGGGAGACUUAUCCUACUUAAUUCCUCGCUCACUAGCAUUGUUUACUAUUAUAUGUCUAUGUUUCUGCUCCCUAAGGUGA
rnacentral:rRNA from 1 species